rnacentral:rRNA from 1 species
UGAGUAACCUGCCCUUCACUUUGGGAUAACUCCGAGAAAUCGGGGCUAAUACUGGAUAUGACUAUGGCCCGCAUGGGUUGUGGUGGAAAGUUUUUCGGUGNGGGAUGGGCUCGCGGCCUAUCAGUUUGUUGGUGAGGUAGUGGCUCACCAAGGCGAUGACGGGUAGCCGGCCUGAGAGGGCGACCGGCCACACUGGGACUGAGACACGGCCCAGACUCCUACGGGAGGCAGCAGUGGGGAAUAUUGCACAAUGGGCGAAAGCCUGAUGCAGCGACGCCGCGUGGGGGAUGACGGCCUUCGGGUUGUAAACCUCUUUCAGCAAGGAAGAAGCGAAAGUGACGGUACUUGCAGAAGAAGCGCCGGCUAACUACGUGCCAGCAGCCGCGGUAAUACGUAGGGCGCAAGCGUUGUCCGGAAUUAUUGGGCGUAAAGNGCUUGUAGGUGGCUUGUCGCGUCUGCCGUGAAAACUCGAGGCUUAACCUUGGGCGUGCGGUGGGUACGGGCAGGCUAGAGUGCGGUAGGGGAGACUGGAAUUCCUGGUGUAGCGGUGAAAUGCGCAGAUAUCAGGAGGA